CAGUCGAACGAGGGUCCUUCGGGACUCGAGUGGCGAACGGGUGAGUAACACGUAGGGAACCUGCCCGUGCGACCGGGAGAACUUUCGGAAACGGAAGCUGAUACCGGAUAGGGACAGAGACGGCAUCGACUCUGUGUUAAAGGAGCUGAAAGGCUCCGCGCACGGAUGGACCUGCGGUGCAUUAGCUGGUUGGUGAGGUAACGGCCCACCAAGGCGACGAUGCAUAGCCGGCCUGAGAGGGCGGACGGCCACACUGGGACUGAGACACGGCCCAGACUCCUACGGGAGGCAGCAGUAGGGAAUUUUCGUCAAUGGGCGCAAGCCUGAACGAGCAAUGCCGCGUGAACGAGGAAGGUCUUCGGAUCGUAAAGUUCUGUUGAAGGGGAAAAAGAGCGGAGAGAGGAAAUGGUCUCCGAUUGAUAUUACCCUUCGAGGAAGUCACGGCUAACUACGUGCCAGCAGCCGCGGUAAUACGUAGGUGGCGAGCGUUAUCCGGAAUGAUUGGGCGUAAAGGGUGCGUAGGCGGCCUGCUAAGUCUGGAGUGAAAGGUACCGGCUCAACCGGUACAGGCUCUGGAAACUGGCGGGCUAGAGAGCAGGAGAGGGCGGUGGAACUCCAUUGUAGCGGUAAAAUGCGUAGAUAUAUGGAAGAACACCAGUGGCGAAGGCGGCCGCCUGGCCUGUUACUGACGCUGAGGCACGAAAGCGUGGGGAGCAAACAGGAUUAGAUACCCUGGUAGUCCACGCGGUAAACGAUGAUCACUAGGUGUCGGUGAGUAUAGACUCAUCGGUGCCGUCGCAAACGCAGUAAGUGAUCCACCUGGGGAGUACGUUCGCAAGAAUGAAAC
rnacentral:rRNA from 1 species